GAUUAGGUAGUCCUGCAACGCAAUGGAUUUCUGUUUAUAAUGCACGACGUCCCAUGAAGCAGAGGUAAGUUGCUAUAAAUACAAGUGUAAUAAUGACUCUUGGCAUGUAUGUUGCUGAUAUAAUGAGUUUUUAGAUGUCUGGCCAUUAUUAUAACUCUUUAAAGAAGCGUCUCAGUGCUAGACUUUUAUAUUGUCUUGGAUCUCAUCAAAAGUACGUGUGAAACGUACAAGUGUAAUAAUGACUCUUGGCAUGUAUGUUGCUGAUAUAAUGAGUUUUUAGAUGUCUGGCUAUUAUUAUAACUCUUUAAAGAAGCGUCUCAGUGCUAGACUUUUAUAUUGUCUUGGAUCUCAUCAAAAGUACGUGUGAAACCUUAAACCUUCAAAUAAGGUUUUAUAAUGAUUUAUCUAGUUAUGCAUCUAUUUUGCCAUAACAUUGCAGCUCAGAUAUGCUUAUUUGUUGUGUUUCAUUAAUUUGGCUUGUAUUUAAAAAGCCUAUGCUAGUUACCUGGAGUAACUGGUAAAGAUUCUGCCAUGUGAGCAGGAGGUCACGGGUUCAAGCCUUGGAAACUGCCUCUUGCAGAAAUGCAAGUUAAGGCUGUGUACAAAACACACAUGUGGUGGGGCCCUUCCCCGGACCCUACACAUUGCGGGAGCUUUUAGUGCACCGGGCUGCCUUUUCUUUUUAGG
rnacentral:lncRNA from 1 species